AACGAACGCUGGCGGCAUGCCUAACACAUGCAAGUCGAACGCCUGCAGCAAUACAGGAGUGGCAGACGGGUGCAAAACGCGUGGAAACCUAUCCUUGGGUUCGGACUAACCGCGGGAAACUGCGGCUAAUACCGGAUACGUCCUUCGGGAGAAAGAUUUAUCGCCCAUUGAGGGGUCCGCGUCUGAUUAGCUAGUUGGUGAGGUAAUGGCUCACCAAGGCGACGAUCAGUAGCUGGUCUGAGAGGAUGAUCAGCCACACUGGAACUGAGACACGGUCCAGACUCCUACGGGAGGCAGCAGUGGGGAAUAUUGGACAAUGGGCGCAAGCCUGAUCCAGCAAUGCCGCGUGGGUGAUGAAGGCCUUCGGGUUGUAAAGCCCUUUUGGCGGGGACGAUGAUGACGGUACCCGCCGAAUAAGCUCCGGCUAACUUCGUGCCAGCCGCCGCGGUAACAC
rnacentral:rRNA from 1 species